CGCCGCGUGAGGGUGAGGCCUCUGGGCUGUAAACCUCUUUUCUCAAGGAAGAAGAUCUGACGGCACUUGAGGAAUAAGCCACGGCUAAUUCCGUGCCAGCAGCCGCGGUAAUACGGGAGUGGCAAGCGUUAUCCGGAAUUAUUGGGCGCAAAGCGUCCGCAGGCGGCCCUUCAAGUCUGCUGUUAAAAAGUGGAGCUUAACUCCAUCGUGGCAGUGGAAACUGUUGGGCUAGAGUGUGGUAGGGGCAGAGGGAAUUCCCGGUGUAGCGGUGAAAUGCGUAGAUAUCGGGAAGAACACCAGUGGCGAAGGCGCUCUGCUGGGCCAUAACUGACGCUCAUG
rnacentral:rRNA from 1 species